UCUCAAAACCUAAAUGUCCCAUUCUUCUCCUUCACGCCGCUUUGUGAUACUCAUAGCUCAAUCUCUGCAUCUUCUUUGAAUUCAUCCUCAUUGCUAGAUCUUCUUCUUCAAUCCCCUGUCGCAUAAACCCUUCUCCCAAUGAUUCCUACAGAUCCAUACACCGACCAAGCAUAAAUUCUAUUAAUCUUCAAAUAGAAUCGGCGGCGUUAGGGUUUUGUUGAAGAAAAUACAAAUUGUAUUUAUUUUGUUGAUUCAAGCAUAAAUACGGAUUCCUCAGGAGCUGGUUGGAUUACUCCCGUUGUAAUAUCAGGAAACCAUUUUUGGGAAAUUGGAAGGCCCGUUGAAGAGUCGGAAUCUAUAAUUACAAGGUUCGGGUCGCAUUUGAGGUAUGGGAGUGGAGCUGGAUAAGAACAAUUGUAUAUGAGGGGAAUUAGCCCGAAUUUGAUGCACUUGUGUCAGUAUUGGCACAAAACAGUUACGUAUAACAAAGAUGUGUGGCAGUGGAAGGAUGACCGGAUUGAAAUAAAUAAAACAUAACUCUAUUAUGUUUUGCAGUUUCUUUUAAAUUACGAUAAGCUGGAACUUGUGUAAUUUUGCAGGAUAUAUUUAAAGAGUUCUACUUGAGCAAAUACAGCGGUAGGCGAUUAAUGUGGCAGAAUUCAUUAGGUCACUGCAUCUUGAAAGCAGAAUUUGCAAAGGGAAAGAAAGAACUGGAUGUUUCCUUAUUUCAGGUGUUUUGCAUCUGCCAUCAUCUUGCGUUGUUUUCUAUUUUCCUCCGACUCCAACAUUUUUGCCGACUAAUGGUUUGAAAUUGGAGCAAACAUCAAAACUGUUGUUCUGUUAGUUCAUUGGAUGUCUGGAUCAACUGGUAGGAAGGGUUUAAGAUUUUUAUUUUUUGUUUUGUUUUUGUGAUUUUGUUUAUUGUUAUAAUAUUCUUUUUUUUUAAUUGUUGUGUUCGUUUAAAAUUGUCUGGAUCAACUGGUGAGAAGGGUUUAACAUUUUUAUAUUUUGUUUUUGUGAUUUUAUUUAUUGUUAUUAUAUUCCUUUUUUUAA